GAUGAACGCUGGCGGCGUGCCUAACACAUGCAAGUCGAGCGGCAGCAAGGGGUGCUUGCACCCUGUCGGCGAGCGGCGGACGGCUGAGUAACGCGUGGGAACGUGCCCCAAAGUGAGGAAUAACUGCCCGAAAGGGUAGCUAAUACCGCAUAUUAUCUUCGGAUCAAAGGAUUUAUCCGCUUUGGGAGCGGCUCGCGUCGGAUUAGGUAGUUGGUGAGGUAAUGGCUCACCAAGCCGACGAUCCGUAGCUGGUCUGAGAGGAUGACCAGCCAGACUGGAACUGAGACACGGUCCAUACUCCUACGGGAGGCAGCAGUGAGGAAUCUUCCACAAUGGGCGAAAGCCUGAUGGAGCAACGCCGCGUGCAGGACGAAAGGCUUCGGGUUGUAAACUGCUUUUAUAAGUGAGGAAUAUGACGGUUACUUAUGAAUAAGGAUCGGGUAACUACGUGCCAGCAACCGCGGUCAUACGUAUGAUCCGAGCGUUAUCCGGAGUGACUGGGCGUAAAGAGUUGCGUACGCCGUUGUAUAAAUGAACAGUGAAAUCUGGUGGCUCCACCAUACAGGCUAUUGUUCAAACUGUACAACUUGAGAGUGGUAGAGGUCACUGCGAAUUUCUUGUGUAGGAGUGAAAUCCGUAGAUAUAAGAACGACCGCCAAUGGCGUACGCUGGUGACUGGACCAUUUCUGACGCUAAGGCACGAAAGCGUGGGGAGCGAACCGCAUUAGAUACCCGGGUAGUCCACGACGUAAACGAUGGAUACUGGCUGUUGGAUGUAUCGACCCCUUCAGUAGCUAAGCUAACGCGUUAAGUAUCCCGCCUGUGGAGUACGGCCGCAAGGCUAAAACAUAAAGGAAUUGACGGGGACCCGCACAAGCGGUGGAUCGUGUUCUUUAAUUCGAUGCUAAACGAAGAACCUUACCAGGGCUUGACAUCCAGGGAAUUUUUGGGAAACCAAUUAGUGCCGUUUGGAACCCUGUGACAGGUGAUGCAUGGCCGUCGUCAGCUCGUGUCGUGAGAUGUUUGGUUAAGUCCAUCAACGAGCGCAACCCUUGGGUCUAGUUGUAUUUUUCUAGACAGACUGCUUCGGUAACGGAGAGGAAGGAGGGGAUGAUGUCAGGUCAGUAUUUCCCUUACGUCCUGGGCUAGAAACACGAUACAAUGGCUAGUACAAUGCGCAGCGAAGCCGCGAGGUGAAGCAAAUCGCACCAAAGCUAGUCCCAGUUCGGAUUGGAGGCUGAAACUCGCCUCCAUGAAGUCGGAGUCGCUAGUAAUCGCAGAUCAGCAAUGCUGCGGUGAAUACGUUCCCGGGCCU
rnacentral:rRNA from 1 species